UGGGGAAUAUUGCACAAUGGGGGAAACCCUGAUGCAGCGACGCCGCGUGGAGGAUGACGGCCUUCGGGUUGUAAACUCCUUUAGUCAGGGACAAUGGUGAUGGUACCCGACGAAUAAGCCACGGCUAAUUCUGUGCCAGCAGCCGCGGUAAGACAGAGGUGGCGAGCGUUGUUCGGAAUUACUGGGCUUAAAGGGCGCGUAGGCGGUGGUGUAAGUCUGGGGUGGAAUGCUACAGCUCAACUGUAGAGCUGCCUUGGAAACUGCAUUACUUGAGUCGGUGAGGGGAAGGCGGAAUUCCUGGUGUAGCGGUGAAAUGCGUAGAUAUCAGGAGGAAGGUCUGUGGCGAAGGCGGCCUUCUGGCACUUGACUGACGCUGAGACGCGAAAGCGUGGGGAGCAAACAG
rnacentral:rRNA from 1 species